ACUCCUACGGGAGGCAGCAGUGGGGAAUAUUGCACAAUGGGGGAAACCCUGAUGCAGCCAUGCCGCGUGUGUGAAGAAGGCCUUCGGGUUGUAAAGCACUUUCAGUAGGGAGGAAGGUAGUGUAGUUAACACCUGCACUAUUUGACGUUACCUACAGAAGAAGCACCGGACUAACUCCGUGCCAGCAGCCGCGGUAAUACGGAGGGUGCGAGCGUUAAUCGGAAUUACUGGGCGUAAAGCGCAUGCAGGUGGUUUGUUAAGUCAGAUGUGAAAGCCCGGGGCUCAACCUCGGAAUUGCAUUUGAAACUGGCAGACUAGAGUACUGUAGAGGGGGGUAGAAUUUCAGGUGUAGCGGUGAAAUGCGUAGAGAUCUGAAGGAAUACCGGUGGCGAAGGCGGCCCCCUGGACAGAUACUGACACUCAGAUGCGAAAGCGUGGGGGAGCAAACAGGAUUAGAUACCCUGGUAGGAUACCG
rnacentral:rRNA from 1 species